UACAGAGGUCCCGAGCGUUGUUCGGAUUCAUUGGGCGUAAAGGGUGCGUAGGCGGCGGGGCAAGUCUGAUGUGAAAUCCCGGGGCUCAACCCCGGAACUGCAUUGGAUACUGCCUUGCUUGAGUACUGGAGAGGGAACUGGAAUUUACGGUGUAGCAGUGAAAUGCGUAGAGAUCGUAAGGAAGGCCAGUGGCGAAGGCGGGUCUCUGGACAGUUCCUGACGCUGAGGCACGAAGGCCAGGGGAGCAAACGGG
rnacentral:rRNA from 1 species